CCGGUCUGAGGCCCCACCAUGACUUUGAAGGAGAUCACUGCAUUUUAAACUCCUUAGAAGACUGUCUGUGAGCCUUGUGUAAUCAGCGUAUAAAGGGUCUGGAAAACACAUGCCCUAUCAGAAAUAGUCUCUUCCUGGUGUGCUAAGAGUCCUGGUCACUUCAGCUCCUGCGUUCCUUAAAAGUCACUGGUGCCAAGCCUGCUACUCACUAAGUUUCACAAUCGUUUCCAUGUGUUAGCCUGCUCUAGUAAGCAACAGAAAUUAGCCUUCUAUUUCCAUUUAUCAUUCAUAGUUUCUAUUUUUUUCAUUUUCUUCAGAUAGGAAAUAUUUGCCACUUGUUUUCUUGAAAUGCAAAAACUUUGUAUAUGGUGAAUUUUUGCCAGUAGAAAGGAAAAGUUUCUCUUGGUGACAAAAUUGGUGGUUGGUCCAUGAACUUUUUAUGCACUCAAUGUUUCAGCAAAAUUCUAUCACCUUUUGGUCAGUUCAUACAAGCUAAC
rnacentral:lncRNA from 1 species